rnacentral:rRNA from 1 species
CCGGACCGGCGCACGGGUGAGUAACGCGUAUGCAACUUACCUAUCAGAGGGGGAUAACCCGGCGAAAGUCGGACUAAUACCGCAUGAAGCAGGGGGCCCCGCAUGGGGAUAUUUGCUAAAGAUUCAUCGCUGAUAGAUAGGCAUGCGUUCCAUUAGGCAGUUGGCGGGGGCAACGGCCCACCAAACCGACGAUGGAUAGGGGUUCUGAGAGGAAGGUCCCCCACAUUGGUACUGAGACACGGACCAAACUCCUACGGAAGGCAGCAG